AAUUAUUAGUUAUAGUAGGCAUGUUAAAAAGUCUUGAAUGGUGACAUAAUUAUUAGACCACUGUUAAAUUGUUUAGUCCGCACGAUUCAUACACGGUCUUAACUUAAUUUCGAUUUCAAAAUUUGAAUUUCACAGUGAACUAAUAUAAUCUCAGUCCCUUGACGAGAAUUGUACAUGGAUACUGGAACACCGAGUUGCUAACGAUGUUGUAUCUGUUAGAGCUUUCCAUCGCCAUCUUUGUGAUUCGCUAACAUCUCGUAGAGCUUAUCGUACGAGAAACAAGAUGUUCAAACUUGUUUUAAAUUAAUCAGCGGUUUGACACAAGCGGUUCUUGUGUAGGUGGCUAGAAUCAUCUAUGAUCCAAGCAUCAUAAGCCAUAUCUACAUUUCCGGGCCUAAAGAUUGAAGAUGCUGUAUCUGAUGGAUCAUUGGCUUGCUCGGUGAUCUCCUUUACUUUUUUGCUUUAUUUUGUUUUGAAUUCGUUUACUUUGUUGAAUCUUCCAAGAGUCUGCCUUAAACUUGUGAAGUACUUCAUGAAUUUAACUGGUUUAUAUCAUUGGAUUUGUUUUGUUUGAGCUUUUUUUUU
rnacentral:sRNA from 1 species